rnacentral:lncRNA from 1 species
AACAGGUCGAGAACUCUAGAUUUUCUGACGUCAGAAUAUAUUUGCAUAGUAAUUUCCAAAACACAAGGCCAAUAUGGCCUUGAAAAACUGACCAAUCGACUCAAUGAACUACAAUGCAUUGUGGGCUACUACGAGUAAACUACUACUUAAAACACGUGGAAUUAGUGGGAAAACAGUCAAUUAAUAUAUUGUCUGGGACUCUCAUUACCAAAGUUUUUAUUCUGCAAAUAUAUUUAAUGUAAAAUAUAUAACGUAAUCUUCAAUUUGCAUGCUCAGAUUAAAAAAAUAUUGUUUAUUGGCUUCACGAUUCGACUUUCUUUUUCGCCUUGCAAAAGUAGUUGAACCGGUUUUGUGCAUUGUUAUGAAUUGAACCUGCAUUAAUUUCACGACAUGACACAGUGAAAUAUCCAAUGAAGUGACCACUGUCCAGUAAGAAAAUCAUUUGAGCUCUUUUAAACCUGUAUAAUGUCAUUGCAAAAUCAUUUCUGCCUAGAAAAACACGAAACUUUCAUUGAAACACUUCUUUCUGUACUGAAUGUGUAUUUUUUUUUUAUCAGGACCUGAACUAAUAGUAAGAACAUCAUAAUAUUCAGUAUGCUAAAAAGAAGUGUUAUGAAAGCGGCAGGGGCGGGUCCAGCCAUUUUAAAAAGGGGGUCCUAACCCUGGACAAAAGGGGAGGGGGUUCCAACUACAUGUCCCCAUCCAAAUGCACUGAUCGUCCAAAAAAAGGGGUCCAUCCCCCGGAACCCCCGCCCCCUGGAUCCGCCACUGAGCGGGUACGGUAUAUAGCUCAAUACAUUUUUUAUAGUUUUCAUCCAUCGAUAAUAUCCGUUUGUUGCUAAUUUUAUCACAAAAUAUACCUCAGAGGUUUUUUUUAUCGUUCGGCUGCUGUCCUGUUGACAUAUGUAAAAUAUCUCCAAUAUUAAAAGUCUCUGGAUCAUAGUGGGUGCCAUAUUACCUAUUAUUUUUUUUCUAAAACGUGCUUUGUAUAUAGAAAUAAGAAGAUGAGGUAUGAGUGCCAAAUGAGACAUCUUUCCAACAAAGACAUAAUUUAGUAAAGUAAGCAGUCAUAGGUCCAAUGCUGAAAAGUAAGCUAUUAAUGACCCAAAAAUUACUUGUGUAAAAACAAUCCAAACAAAAAAAAAAAAACAAAAAAAACGGCCCAAUUAAAUAUAUAAAAGGACAAGAAAUCUAUCCCAUCAAAAAAAAAUAUAUUGUAUAGGAGCCUGUAUUUCAGUGGUUGUCGUUUGUUUAUGUGUUACAUAUUUGUUUUUCGUUCAUUUUUUUUUAUAUAAUUAAGGCCGUUAGUUUUCUCGUUUGAAUUGUUUUACAUUGUCAUAUCGGGGACUUUUAUAGCUGACUAUGCGGUAUGGGCUUUGCUCAUUGUUGAAGGCCGUACGGUGAUCUAUAAAUGUUAAUUUCUGUGUCAUUU